rnacentral:lncRNA from 1 species
ACCAAAUACGNCCUAAGGAACCAUAGUCACUUCCCCUCCAUGACCUUUCCUUGUUUUUUUGCAUUUACGGCCAAAAAACUAGAAUUGCGCCUGAUUCCCAUAUUUUCGUGUGCUACAGCCCACGCCUUCCAAGAGGGCCCGGACCCCGAUCGCCUAAAAUUUUUUUGGGCCAUCAAAUAUGACCUAAGGAACAAUAGCCACCACCCCGCCAUGACCUUUCCUCAUUUGUUUGCAUUAUACAGCCAAAAAACAAGAAUUCCGCCUAAUUCCCAUAUUUUAGUAUGCUAAAAGCCCACGCAUUCCGAGUGGGCCCGGACCACCGGACCCCGAGGGCCUAAAAAAAUUUCGUGUCAUCAACUACGACCUAAGGAACCAUAGUCACUGACCCGCCAUGACCGUUCCUCGUAUUUUUGCAUUUUAUGGCCAAAAGACUAGAACUCCGCCCGAUUACCAUAGUUUCGUUUGAUAAAGCCUAUGCCUUCCGAGUGGGCCCAGGCCCCCGGACCUCGAUCGCCUAAAAAUUUUUCGGGCCAUGAAAUGCAACCUAAGGAACCAUAGUUACCGCCACGCCUUGACCGUUCCUCGUUUAUUUGCGUUUUACGGCAAAAACAACUAGAAUUCCGCCCGAUUCCCCUAUUUUCGUGUGCUAUAGUCCAAGUCUUCCGAGUGGGCCCGGGCCCUCCGGACCCGGAUCGCCUAAAAUUUUUCUGGGCCAUCAAAUAGGACCUAAGGAACUACAGUCACUGCCCCGCCAUGACUGUUCCUUGUUUUCUUGCGUUUUACGGCCAAAAAACUAGAAUUCCGCCCGAUUCCCAUAUUUUCGUGUGCUAUAGUCCAAGCCUUCCGAGUAGGUCGGGCCCCUCCGGACCUGUAUCACCUUAAAUUUUUCCGGGCCAUCAAAUAUGACCUAAAGAAUCAUAUUCACUGACCCUCCAUGACCGUUAUUCAUUUGUUUGCGUUUUACGGCAAAAAAACUAGAAUUCCGCCCGAUUCCCAUAUUUUCGUGUGCUAUAGCCCACGCCUUCCUAGUGGACCCGGGCCCUCCGGACCCGGAUUGCCUAAAACUUUUUCGGUCCAUCAAAUAGGACCUAAGGAACCAUAGUCACCGCCCUGCCAUGACCGUUCCACAUUGUUUGCGUAUUACGGCCAAAAAACUAAACUUUCGCACGAUUCACAUAUUUUUGAGUGCUAUAGCCCACGCCUUCUGAGUGGGUCUGGCCCCCUAGACCACGACCGCCUAAAAAAUUUCCGAGCAAUGAAAUACGACCUAAGGAACCAUAGUUAUAACCAUGCCUUGACCAUUCCUCGUUUAUUUG